UUUGAUACUUCCAAAGACUUUUUUUUUUCAACAAGAAGUUCAAGUUGCCUUUUCAAGAAAUUUCAGUUUAGGCUUUGAAUUACAUUGAAGAGUACAAAAAGGCUCAGCAAAUUUUCCAAUUUCAAGAUCAAAAGCUGCAGUGGUUACAUCCUAUUUGGACUCCUCCAGCUAAAUGACAUUUAAAAGUCAAUGUUGAUGAUGCAAUCUCUCAGUCUUGUGGUCGAUCUGGUGGACAAGCUAAGCAUUUGACUCAACCCAAGGCUGAGAUGAAAGAGUAAGAUGAGCAUUUGACUCAACAGUUUGCAAGAGGGAAUAUCAUAGGACUGACUUUUAAGGUGAAUGCAUAGAUUUAUUAGGAAGAAUAUUAAGAAAAGAAACAUGAUUGAGUUUGCAGUAAUUUGGAGAAGAGAAUUAUGUUGUCUUGUUGAGAUUUGUUGUAUUAUAUAUUUUGAAGUUUAUAGAUUUAUAAUAUUAUAAUGAAUUUUUAUUGAGAAUUAUUUAGUCUCAUGGGGAUUUGAUGUAUUAUUUAUAUUUCAGUUGUAUGAAUAAAUGUUGUAUAUAUAUGAAUUUUUAUUAUGAUAAAUAUAAUUUUUUUUACAAGUUAUGGCAAUAAUAAUUAAUUAUGUGAGUAAUUUUUUAUUUAAAUUUAUAUUAAACUUCAAUUGUUAAAAAUAUAAUUAAAAGUUUUAAAAAAUAUAUAUUGAAAAAUUAUUAUUUAUAUAUAUAAAUUUAAUAUUACGUCGAUACCUAUCAAUUUUUGGCGUUGCCAACAACGCCGACACUUAUUAAUUGUCAGCAACGAUGACACUUAUUAACUGUUGGCGUUGCCAGCAACGGUGAAACCUAUUAACUGUCGACGUUGCCAGUAACGGCGACACUUAUUAACUGUUAGCGUAGCCAGUAACGGCGACGAUUAUUAACUGUCGCCGUUGCCAGCAACGACGACACUUAUUAACUGUCGGUGUUGCCAACAACGACAACACCUUAACUGUCGGUGUAGCCAGCAACGACGAUACUUAUUAACUGUUGGUGUAGGUACCCCUAUGUCGGCAUAGGCAAAUACGACAAUUAGUCGACUGUCGUCAUUGCUCAAUAGCGACAGUUAAAAACUGUCGGGAAAGCCCAUUUUUGUAGUAGUGAACUUCUGCUGAUGAUGUAUCAGACAUAGAUUAUGUUGCGACAAUAACUAAAUAAACAGAGAAGGAAACUCUAGUUAAUUCUUCUGACUCUAUUAAAAAAGAACCCUCAACCAGAGUAAAAAAGAAUCAUCCUUCUGAACUUAUUUUGGGAAAUCUUGAAGAGAAUAUGGUCACUCGAAAGAGGUAUGUAAACUUGGUUCAAUUUUUUUGCUUUACUUCUACAUUUGAACCAAAAAAUGUGAAGGAAGCCUUAAAUGAUGAAUCGUGGAUUAAUGCUAUGCAAGAAGAGCUAGAUCAAUUCAUAAGAAAUGAGGUAUGGAUUCUUGUCCCUAGAUAGAGCCAUACUAAUGUUAUAAGUACAAAAUAGAUAUUAAAAAAAAACUGGUGAAUUUGGCACCAUAAUAAGGAAUAACGCUAGGCUAGUUGCACAGGGGUACACUCAAGUUGAAGGAAUUGAUUUUGAUGAGAUAUUUGCCCUUGUUGCAAGACUUGAAUCCAUAAGAUUAUUGCUAGAUGUUUUAUGUGUUCUUGGUUUUAAAUUAUUCUAAAUUGAUGUCAAAUCCACCUUUUUAAAUGGACUCUUAAAUGAAGAGGCUUAUUUUGAGCAACCCAAAGGGUUUGAGGACCCUCACUUUCCAAAUCAUGUUUUUAAGCUGCAAAAAGUAUUGUAUGGGUUGAAACAAGCCCCUCGGGCUUGGUAUGAAAGAUUGACCUAUUUUUUGGUCUAAAAGGGGUACAAGAGAGGGGGAGUAGACAAGAAACUUUUUGAUAAAAAAUGUUGAUACCAAUAUUAUGAUAGCUCAAAUAUAUGUUGUUGAUAUAGUGUUUGGUUCUACUAACUCUCUAGUGCAGGAAUUUGUGAAACAAAUGCAGGAAAAGUUUGAGAAGAGCAUGGUGGGAGAGCUCAAUUUUUUCUUAGGGCUCAGCAGUCAGAUGAGGGAAUUUUCAUUUCACAAACCAAGUAUGCCAGGAAUUUGGUGAAGAGAUUUGGGCUUGAGGCAUCCAAACCUGCUAAAAAUCCCAUGGGAACCACUGUCAAACUAUCUAAAGAUGAGAAUGUGACGAAAGUCGAUCCAACUCUAUACAGGAGUAUGAUUGGGAGUCUUCUAUACUUAACGGUUAGUCGUUCAGACAUUAGUUAUAGUGUUGGAGUGUAUGCUAGCUUCCAAGGGGACCCCAAGGAGUCUCAUGUGACUGUUGUGAAAAGAAUUAUUCGUUAUAUCAAUAACACUAUUGAAUUAGGCAUUUGGUACUCCAAAGAAACAAACUCUAACCUUGUAUGUUAUAAUGAUGUAGAUUGGGCAGGAAACACUGAUGGCUACAAGUGGUGGUUGUUUUUAUUUAGGAAACAAUUUUGUUUCCUGGCAUAGUAAAAAAUAAAACUACAUCUCCUUGUCAA